rnacentral:rRNA from 1 species
AACAAACGCUGGCGGCGUGCCUAACACAUGCAAGUCGUACGAGAAAGGGUCCUUCGGGGCCUGAGUAAAGUGGCGCACGGGUGAGUAACGCGUGGAUAAUCUGCCCUUCAGUUGGGAAUAACUCAUCGAAAGGUGGGCUAAUACCGAAUAAUGCUGUGAGACCUCGGUUGAUCAGCCAAAGAGAGCCUCUGCUUGCAAGCCCUCGCUGAAGGAUGAGUCCGCGUACCAUUAGCUAGUUGGUAGGGUAAUGGCCUACCAAGGCGACGAGGGUUUGCCGGUCUUGGAGGAGGAUCAGACACACUGGAACUGAGACACGGUCCAGACUCCUACGGGAGGCAGCAGUGAGGAAUCUUGCGCAAUGGGGGCAACCCUGACGCAGCAACGCCGCGUGAGUGAGGAAGGUCUUCGGAUCGUAAAGCUCUGUCGGAUGGAAAGAACCGCAUAGGGGUAAACAGCCCCUGUGUCUGACGGUACCAUCAAAGGAAGCACCGGCUAACUCCGUGCCAGCAGCCGCCGUAAAAC